rnacentral:rRNA from 1 species
UACGUAGGUCCCGAGCGUUGUCCGGAUUUAUUGGGCGUAAAGCGAGCGCAGGUGGUUUAAUAAGUCUGAUGUAAAAGGCAGUGGCUCAACCAUUGUGUGCAUUGGAAACUAUUAGACUUGAGUGCAGUAGAGGAGAGUGGAAUUCCAUGUGUAGCGGUGAAAUGCGUAGAUAUAUGGAGGAACACCGGUGGCGAAAGCGGCUCUCUGGACUGUAACUGACACUGAGGCUCGAAAGCGUGGGUAGCAAACAGG